GGACAUGAGGGUGAUCUGGCUGCGACAUCUACCACCCAUUGAUUGCCAGGUUGGAUUUAGCUGAUCCGGCAGGCUAGGGGGCCAUCCCCAGCCUCCCUCAAUUCUUCAAGUGUGUCUCUCCCGAAGCUGCACACUGGGAGAGGCCCACGUUCAAAAGAGGAGGACCAUUUCCUCCAUCAAGGGUAUAUGGGUAGCUCUGAUCCCCGCUAAAACCUCCAAACAAGCUCUCCAGAGUAAGGGGUGAAAACACCCAAACUUUAGACAGCAGGAAUGGCAGUGAAGUUGUCUUCAGAGUUUCCCUU
ensembl:misc_RNA 7SK 7SK RNA